GAGACGUGCAAAGGUAAAGUAGGCGAAGAGAAACAUCUGAGUAGCCUAUAAAGUAAAACUGAAAAGGAAGUUGUUAGUAUCGGCGAGAGAAAACAGCUAAGAAAAGAAGGUGUUAGUUGAGUAUGGACAAAAAAGGGAGACAUUAAAAACCCCGUACACUACAACAGACCAUGCAAACAAAGUAGGGGUGUAUCAAGGAGAGCCCGAAAAAAGGCCAGCCACGGGCCAUUUCUAAAACUGAGUCCGACUGUUAGAGAAAAUAAGUGUGAACAAAGCAUGAAAAAGUAACUCUAAGACUGAAAGAAUCCGAAAAAAGUUUAUGAAAGCUGACACAAAAAUCAUCUAUCGCGGUGUGGGCCGUUUCUUGUAGCGUAUAGCCCACAACCGUGCUAGUGUACCUCUUGAAUCAUGGCCCUGUGAGUAACCCAAGGAGGCGAGGUUAAUUCGAAAGAAGGAGCCGUAGCGAAAGCGAGUUAUUAAAGCAAAAGUCACCAAGGAAAAACCCGAAACUAGGCGACCUACUUCACAACAGAUUGAGUCUGGGAUAGGAUCCUAACAUGAAGAUCGAACUCGUGAAAGCUUCAAAUUUUUGAGAAGAUUGUGGAGUAGCGGUGAAAAGCCAAUCGAGCCUAGAAUAGCUGGUUUUCCGCGAAAGCUAUCUGAGUAGUACGUUGUAGUUGA
rnacentral:rRNA from 15 species